UUUUACUAAAGGUACUACUUUGUUAUGUUGUUCUUUCAUUUCCUAAGCUUAAAUAUUAACUGGUUCUUCUAAAUAAGACAAGUCAGACUGUAAUUCUACCUUGUCGGGAGUAAUCAUAGGGAAUGAUCUGAUCUAUAUCGUCGAAGCAUUGAAACAUGAAAAACAUUGUGAAUCUUUUCAAGUUCCAAAGGCAAUGCUAGUUUGUAAGCCACUGGACCAAUUCUUUUGGUAAUUUCAUACAAC
rnacentral:lncRNA from 1 species